GACGAACGCUGGCGGCGUGCUUAACACAUGCAAGUCGAACGGAAAGGCCCUGCUUUUGUGGGGUGCUCGAGUGGCGAACGGGUGAGUAACCCGUGAGUAACCUGCCCUUGACUUUGGGAUAACUUCAGGAAACUGGGGCUAAUACCGGAUAGGAGCUCCUGCUCCUUGGUGGGGUUUGGAAAGUUUCGGCGGUUGGGGAUGGACUCGCGGCUUAUCAGCUUGUUGGUGGGGUAGUGGCUUACCAAGGCUUUGACGGGUAGCCGGCCUGAGAGGGUGACCGGCCACAUUGGGACUGAGAUACGGCCCAGACUCCUACGGGAGGCAGCAGUGGGGAAUAUUGCACAAUGGGCGGAAGCCUGAUGCAGCAACGCCGCGUGCGGGAUGACGGCCUUCGGGUUGUAAACCGCUUUCGCCUGUGACGAAGCGUGAGUGACGGUAAUGGGUAAAGAAGCACCGGCUAACUACGUG
rnacentral:rRNA from 1 species